AGUAACGCGUGGGUAACCUGCCUCACACUGGGGGAGUAACAGUCAGAAAUGACUGCUAAUACCGCAUAAGCGCACGGGAUUGCAUGAUCCAGUGUGAAAAACUCCGGUGGUGUGAGAUGGACCCGCGUUGGAUUAGCAGUUGGCAGGGUAACGGCCUACCAAAGCGACGAUCCAUAGCCGGCCUGAGAGGGUGGACGGCCACAUUGGGACUGAGACACGGCCCAGACUCCUACGGGAGGCAGCAUG
rnacentral:rRNA from 1 species